UACAGAGGGUGCAAGCGUUGCUCGGAAUCAUUGGGCGUAAAGGGUAGGUAGGUGGUCUCGUUUGUCUGGGGUGAAAGCCCAGGGCUUAACCCUGGAAGUGCCCCAGAAACGGCGAGACUAGAGUAUUGGAGAGGGUCGUGGAAUUCCCGGUGUAGCGGUGAAAUGCGUAGAGAUCGGGAGGAACACCAGAGGCGAAGGCGGCGACCUGGACAAUAACUGACACUCAACUACGAAAGCGUGGGGAGCAAACAGG
rnacentral:rRNA from 1 species